ACCCUAAAGGCCCUCCGGGCCCCACUGUUAGCCGACCUUCUACAGCAACCAACCAUUUUCCGAAUUUCUUUCGGACUUCGUCUGCAUCCAAGCUUCCCCGACAGUGAGAUUUCUAUGGUAACGAGACUCCAUCCAAGUUUCUACGACGGUCGACCACCUUUUGGAUCCCAAUCGAGCUCCCACGAGAGCCGAACUUCUACUACGAACGGUCUACUCCGAACUCCUACAGCGAGCUGUCUAUCCUAGACAUCUACUGUAAGUAAAUUUCAUUCAAGCCUCUACUGUAAACGAAUCUCCUCCGAACUUCUAUUACAGGU
rnacentral:lncRNA from 1 species